rnacentral:lncRNA from 1 species
UUAUUUUUUAUGUACCACACUUAUUUAUUGAAGUCCUGUAUAUAGGCUGGGCAGAGUUGAUUGAACCGAUGUUAAUGAUUGGGUAUGACUUUAGAUUUUAGGAUGAAUAUAGAUGGUCAGUAAUAGGUAUUGAUUGUGCAGUUAUAGUUUACUGGACUGUUCUCCUUAUAUCUGGUUGAAGCACAUGAGCAAUCAGAGCAGGGAUGUAACUAUACCUGCCCCAGUACCCGUGCGUUAGAGAUGACGACGAUACCUCUAACGCACAGAUACUAGUGUACCUGCGAUCUUAUUCAAAAACUCUCAUGAUCUUAUAGGACGAUAGUUCCAGCUCAACUGCGACAUUAUGGACUCAGGGCUCCAGCAGGAGGGCUUAUGGAUAUCUGAUAUGCCAUUUGACUGGAGGCAUGCUGCAGUAUGCGGCACAGGGAGAAGAAAACAUGCAGAAACGUACUCAUGUGGCAAGGUCUAGUAAAG